AUGAACGCUGGCGGCGUGCCUAAUACAUGCAAGUCGAGCGAACAGACGAGGAGCUUGCUCCUCUGACGUUAGCGGCGGACGGGUGAGUAACACGUGGAUAACCUACCUAUAAGACUGGGAUAACUUCGGGAAACCGGAGCUAAUACCGGAUAAUAUAUUGAACCGCAUGGUUCAAUAGUGAAAGACGGUUUUGCUGUCACUUAUAGAUGUAUCCGCGCCGCAUUAGCUAGUUGGUAAGGUAACGGCUUACCAAGGCAACGAUGCGUAGCCGACCUGAGAGGGUGAUCGGCCACACUGGAACUGAGACACGGUCCAGACUCCUACGGGAGGCAGCAGUAGGGAAUCUUCCGCAAUGGGCGAAAGCCUGACGGAGCAACGCCGCGUGAGUGAUGAAGGUCUUCGGAUCGUAAAACUCUGUUAUUAGGGAAGAACAAAUGUGUAAGUAACUAUGCACGUCUUGACGGUACCUAAUCAGAAAGCCACGGCUAACUACGUG
rnacentral:rRNA from 1 species